rnacentral:lncRNA from 1 species
CUCAUUCUAAAAGAUCGAAAUACAAAGCUAGUCUAAAAAUUAAUUUCACUACAUUGAUUGGCAAGAUUCAUAAGACAUACACUUGUAAUUUACUAAAGAAAAAACAUCUACAGCUGGGCUGAGCUGUUGAGUCCAAACUGUCCAGGCCCAAUGGCCUAGAUCAAACUUGCUCGAAUGAACCCAAGACUUGGGCCUGUUCGCAAGUGCAACCCAGUUUAUACAACCAUAAACAUGUUCAUUACAAAAGGAAAAUCUACUAUUGAAAGUCCACUAACAACUAAACUUAAAUUGAAAUUAACAGUCCAUUUACAAUAUUACCAGUUCAAGACUUUUUACAAGAAGGAUUUUAACCCAAUGAACCAUUAUCCUGACAGUCCCUCACAACUAAUAUUUAAAAAAAGUUCUAAAAAAAAGGUAAAUAAAAGGAAGAUGUCUUCUAGCCUUGAAUUUUUGCCAUCAAGCUCUUUACAACCAAUGUACCAGCUUGCAAGAGAUCAACUACAGAGCUGUUUCUCACAAGCUGGUUGUUUAAACACCACACCUGAAGCUUCUUAAUGCCCAAAUCAGCUCCUAUUCUACUAAGGAUUUCAUGAAUCUGAUCACGUGAAAAGGUCAGAUCAACAGAAAUGCCUUUAAUCAUACCAAACUCAAUAUAUUGUCAGACCCAAACAUAAACACAUAAUGCAAUAAAACAGUUAUGAUUCAUGGGUUUAACCAUGUUAAAGGUUAAACUCAUGAACCACUAUAGGUUUCAAGCCCAAAAUCAUGGCAUGCUGCUUUGGUGAAAUACUAGAAUAAACUUAAAAGGAAGGAAAGAGGAAGUUCAAUCCAUGAACCUGACCAUGUAAGGGUCAGGCUCCCUGGACAAACCUAGUUUUAGGGAGGGGAAUCUAAACAUGUUUUAAUCAGUACAAGAAGAAACAGAGAUGCAUACAUGGCAUAAGAUAAUCAGUACUAAAAUCUAACAAAGAAACAGAACAUUAUGACAUAAGCUAGAGGUAAAGAAACUCAUGCAUUCUGAGAGAGAAAAAAAGCUUUAGCACUAUUGUAGUUUCAGCAUGUAAAACUUAAAAAGCAUAUACAGACAGUGUCAAACAAAAAGAAAUAGCUCAUAUUCAUCUGAAGUUUCAAUUACAAAGCAAUCAAACAAGGAAAGGGUCAUAUGUACCUUGAAACAGCAGUUAGGUAACAACUAAAAUGAAGAUAAGACUGUUGGAGGAAUCUCAGAAGCAGAAAACAGCAAACAAUGAACAACACAACUUCAGCAGACCCAAAGAAUCCCAGAAUUUCAAAACUAAACCAACACUUGAAAAACCAGAAAUCCCAAGUAAAUACUCCUAGGAAAAUUCUUCAUUUCAACUCAUUUUUUAACUUGUUAACAAAGAGACGUUUCUUUUUUUAGAAGUUUUUCUGAGAUUUUCUUUAAAUCUGAAAUUCAGAGAAGAGAGAUAAUUUUUCUGCAGAGAAUGAUACACUAAUGAUUGUUCAUCCUCUUUCUUAGAAUGAGGGAAACCUACCUAUAUAGGCUGCCUAGGGAGAUUAUCUUUUUUGGCAUAUUCCUUAUCCCAGGGUAAAAAUAGUACUGUCCUUGGUACAACUGUCCUAUAUUUCAGCAUCUUUUUGUAAUAGCUAGGACAACUGUACCGUUUUCUAGGAAAUUUCUGAUUUUUAGCCUAGGUAGAAACCCAUUUUUAACCUUCAAGUUGCUGCUUAUUUCAGUCUUAACCUAAACUUUUUCAGUUCAAAUAGGUCCCUAAAGUUUCUAUCUGUGAGCAGUUUAGAACAAACAAGGACAAAACUAAAAGGGGUGAAAAUUUGGAUCAAAAUGCUUAAACAGGUCAAAAAGGUGCAGUCUAGACUUAAUAGAAGGAAAUGCUUGAUCAAUUAGAACUGACUAACACUGAAACUAAAAAAAAAUGCAUUUAAACAGUAAUCCAAAAAUCAGAAAUGCAAAUGCAAGGAACAAACUGGAAUUCAAACUACAUCAAUUUGCAAAACUUAAACAAACGAACCUAAAUAAUUGCCGGUCCUCCUAAAAUAAGCCUUUAGACUAGUUUAGGAAAUAAGAGCAAUCAUUUUGAACAUGCUGAAUCUUAGAGAUUGAGACCUAGGCUAAUUGGAAACAUGCUUUUCCUUUUUUUCUUUCUUUUUUUUUUUUAAAAAUCUAUCAAACAAAAAACCAACAUCAAACAGAGCUAGGGGGGUCUGUGAAUUAAAAGAAGGCGGGUAUUUCAGCAUCAAUUUAAAACAUGCAGUUAAAACAAGAACAAUUAAACAUGCAGGAAAGAAACAAAAUAAAAUCAGACAGUCAAAAGAAAAAAAAGGGAUUUACCGGGUUUUAUUUCAAAAACUGGAUAGAACCACGAACUCGUCCAAACUCCCUGAAGUGUAAAUGGACUUUGACUACCAUUAAAACAAUCGACUAAUGGAGGUUCUAAGUCCACUUAACCAAUUUUGACCGAAAAAAUUAGAAAAGGGGAAAAAAUUAGGGUUCGAUGAUUCUGAGAUUCAAGAUUCGAGGAAUUUGGCUGGGAUUUUUGAGGAAUCAAGGGUGAGACAGGGGUGAGGGAAGGUCGAGGACUGUUUGGUAUGAAUUUGGGGGCUUUGGGGGAAAUUAGGGUUUUGGAAACCUAAAUUUCGAUUCAAGAUUCGAGCAGCUAGGCAGUGAUUCGAAGGCAAAGGGUUGGGGAUUUGUAAAGAGGGGAUGAAGGGGAGUUCGGGGUGUUAAUUUGGUUAAGAUUGGAACAGUUAGGUUUUUUAGCCGGAUUUUCGAUCUAAUAUUCGAGGAGUUUGGCACUGAUUCGAAGGAAGACAACUAGAGAUAUGGAUUGAAGAGGUGAAGGGGAGCUCAUGGUGUUAUUUUGGGGAAGAUUGGUCCACCGGAACCGCCGUGAGGUGAUUUCCGGCGGUGGUUUGCGGUGGAGGCGGCGUGGGGAUAUGAGAAAGAGAUGAGAGUGAAGACUGAAAGAGGUUAGACGGGUGGGGGGGUGGGUGGGUUUCUCUUCGGACAGUUUUAUAUAAAAUAACUCCCUAGUUCUGAACCGUUGGAUUGCUAAGAUCCAACGGCUGUGAUUAGGCGUUACAAAAAAUGGGGUCGUU